rnacentral:rRNA from 1 species
GAUGAACGCUAGCUACAGGCUUAACACAUGCAAGUCGAGGGGAAACGACAUCGAAAGCUUGCUUUUGAUGGGCGUCGACCGGCGCACGGGUGAGUAACGCGUAUCCAACCUGCCCACCACUUGGGGAUAACCUUGCGAAAGUAAGACUAAUACCCAAUGAUACCUCUAGAAGACAUAUGAAAGAGAUUAAAGAUUUAUCGGUGAUGGAUGGGGAUGCGUCUGAUUAGCUUGUUGGCGGGGUAACGGCCCACCAAGGCUACGAUCAGUAGGGGUUCUGAGAGGAAGGUCCCCCACAUUGGAACUGAGACACGGUCCAAACUCCUACGGGAGGCAGCAGUGAGGAAUAUUGGUCAAUGGGCGAGAGCCUGAACCAGCCAAGUAGCGUGCAGGAUGACGGCCCUAUGGGUUGUAAACUGCUUUUAUAAGGGAAUAAAGUGAGCCUCGUGAGGCUUUUUGCAUGUACCUUAUGAAUAAGGACCGGCUAAUUCCGUGCCAGCCGCCGCCGUAA